UACGUAGGGGCUAGCGUUAUCCGGAUUUACUGGGCGUAAAGGGUGCGUAGGUGGUUUCUUAAGUCAGAGGUGAAAGGCUACGGCUCAACCGUAGUAAGCCUUUGAAACUGGGAAACUUGAGUGCAGGAGAGGAGAGUGGAAUUCCUAGUGUAGCGGUGAAAUGCGUAGAUAUUAGGAGGAACACCAGUCGCGAAGGCGGCUCUCUGGACUGUAACUGACACUGAGGCACGAAAGCGUGGGGAGCAAACAGGAUUAGAUACCCUGGUAGUCCCUGAG
rnacentral:rRNA from 1 species